AACGAACGCUGGCGGCAUGCCUAACACAUGCAAGUCGAACGAGACCUUCGGGUCUGGUGGCGCACGGGUGCGUAACGCGUGGGAACCUGCCUUUAGGUUCGGAAUAACUCAGAGAAAUUUGAGCUAAUACCGGAUAAUGUCUUCGGACCAAAGAUUUAUCGCCUUUAGAUGGGCCCGCGUAAGAUUAGCUAGUUGGUGGGGUAAAGGCCUACCAAGGCGACGAUCUUUAGCUGGUCUGAGAGGAUGAUCAGCCACACUGGGACUGAGACACGGCCCAGACUCCUACGGGAGGCAGCAGUGGGGAAUAUUGGACAAUGGGCGAAAGCCUGAUCCAGCAAUGCCGCGUGAGUGAUGAAGGCCUUAGGGUUGUAAAAGCUCUUUUACCCGAGAUGAUAAUGACAGUAUCGGGAGAAUAAGCUCCGGCUAACUCCGUGCCAGCAGCCGCGGUAAU
rnacentral:rRNA from 1 species